AGCCACAUAUUUUCCAAUGUCUUUUUUCAUCCCAUACUACCAGAAGUGUGCAUUCAAAUCCUUAUACAUUUUAGUUCCAUCAGGGUGAACCGUAUAAGGUACAAAAUGAGCCUCUCUCAAAAUCUUCUAUCGGAUCUCUAAAUCCAUAGACACGCACAGUCGGUCCUUGUACUGCAGUACUUCCGAACUGUCAACGGUAAAGUCCCCUCUCUGUCCAUUCGCAAUCAUUUCUCGAAUCCCUAUCAAAUGAGGGUCCACACUCUGUUUCUUCUAGAUCCUAUCCAACAGAGUGUGUUGCAAGACCAA
rnacentral:lncRNA from 1 species